UGAUUAAAUUCUCUAUAUUGGAGUUUUCCAGUAUUUUGAGUCAGUCCCCCUGGACAGUGGUUCUCUUCAGUGCUCCCUGGGGGCUGGAACUCUGUAGACAAACAUUAACAUUAACUGUUUAUUUAUCUUCUACUCCUUCCAUUUUUACUGCAUCUACCAUUUGAUCAACAUGAAAUCAACUCUGACUCUGCUGUGUCUGGUGGUAUGGGUGAAUGUGGAUGCUUCAUCAGCUCAGACUGUGUGCAGUGUUGCC